GAUCAUGGCUCAGGAUGAACGCUGGCGGCGUGCCUAAUACAUGCAAGUCGAACGAGGUAGCAAUACCGAGUGGCGAACGGGUGAGUAACACGUAGGUAACCUGCCUUACAGUUUGGGAUACCCUGGCGAAAGCUAGGCUAAUACCGAAUAAUUGGAUUGGAGGCAUCUCCGAUCUCUAAAAGGGGCCCUUAAAGCCUCGCUGAAUGAUGGACCUGCGGCGCAUUAGCUAGUUGGUGAGAUAAUAGCCCACCAAGGCGAGGAUGCGUAGCCGACCUGAGAGGGUGAACGGCCACACUGGAACUGAGACACGGUCCAGACUCCUACGGGAGGCAGCAGUAGGGAGUUUUCGGCAAUGGGGCAACCCUGACCGAGCAACGCCGCGUGAAUUGUUGAAGGUCUUCGGAUUGUAAAGUUCUGUUAUAAGGGAAAAAUGAUAGGGUGAGGAAAUGCUCUCUAUUUGAUGGUACCUUAUUAGAAAGCCACGGCUAACUACGUGCCAGCAGCGGC
rnacentral:rRNA from 1 species